UACAGAGGUGGCAAGCGUUGUUCGGAAUUACUGGGCGUAAAGGGCGCGUAGGCGGCUUAACAAGUCCCGUGUGAAAUCCCUCGGCUCAACUGAGGAACUGCACGGGAAACUGUUUGGCUUGAGUUCGGGAGAGGGAAGCGGAAUUUCGGGUGUAGCGGUGAAAUGCGCAGAUAUCCGAAGGAACACCGGUGGCGAAGGCGGCUUCCUGGACCGACACUGACGCUGAGGCGCGAAAGCCAGGGGAGCAAACGGG
rnacentral:rRNA from 1 species